AGAAUGUGCGUCACAAUAAUUUGGCUCGCCUAUACAACAAGGACGCUGGAACAAGAGAACUGAUCAAGCAUGUCAUGGCGCUGUGCUAUAUACAAGCUAUGUUUAUUACGUCCAGAUUCAAAUCACUGAAAUAAAAGAUGCAAAAUCAAGAACUUCGCCGAAUAUUUUCAAAACACAUGGCUAUACAACAGUGUCUGGACUCCCAAUGAUUGGUCAGUAUUCGACGUAGAAAUAGGAACCAACAAUUAUCUGGAAGGUUGUCACCGCCAUUUUAACAGUAUAACUUGGAAAAAUAUGCCUUUUUACAGUUUAAUCUCAACAACGUAUUAAGUAAGUAUAGGGAUAGAGGCGGACGUUGUGGAGAUUUUGAAAGAGAAUGUUGUGAGGCGUGUCAACGGCAGGUAUGCGGAAGCCAACGAGAGGGUGCAACUUGUCUGGGAGUUUAAAGAAGGAGAGUUAUCUGUGGACUCUCUUCUUCGGAGGUGUUCAAGGAUCUACGGGCCGCAGUAUUGCAAAGAAUCGUUUCGUGAUGAUCAAUUCAAUGGCUAGCGUAUUCCAAAUAAAUGGUGAAACAAAUUUCACUGGCUGAUGUCUCAUCCAUGAUAAAUUUGAAUUGAAUCAACUGCUUCACAAUAAUAAUUAAUUAAAUGAAGAAAUGAUCCGGUGAAAUAACAAUCUUAAUUCCUUUAUCCCUGCAGGAGUCAAUAUCUACAGAUCUAAGAAAUAAAAGAAAACCUUACUUCUGUACCUUAUGCCCUUGGUUACGGUACCAACAUAUUCCUAUACUAUACCUAGUAUCCCUAACCCUAACCUGCUAUACCACUGUCAUGCCAGCCAAAUAUCAAACUUAUAUUCCCGAAUUUCAUAUUAAAGUGUUUCCUGGUCUAAAUGUACUUUUUGACUUUCUACGAAAACUAAUACUUUGGGACAUCACGCUAUCGGAGGA